CAACGGCUGCGGCUCUCUCCAUAUCCCUAUCCAGCGGCGGCUGCGACUCUCUCCCUGUCUCCACUGUCCAGCGCAAGGAGCAAGCCAGGCAGCCAGCAAGGCACGGCGGCAAGCGAGAGCAGACAAACCACUGGGGUCUGCGGACCACCUGACCGGAAGGCAACCAGGCAAGGCACGACAGCAAGGAUAAUAGACAAACCACUACGGUCUACUUCUCAAUGUGUUUUCAAAUAUGUUGCAUUGUUUUUUUGCCCAGAUAAUAGAUUUGAAUUUAUCCAUGAUCUUGUAGUCGUCUAGUACUCAAAACAUUAGUAGUAGUAGGUACUUAGGUAGUACCAGUCUGGUGUGGGCUAUGGCUCAGUCGCUUAGUGGCUGUGUCGCUGUGAAGUGUGGAUAUGUGAUUCUAGUGUCUGGCUGGAAACUGUAUAUUUUUUAAUAUGUGAUUCUAGUGUUCUU
rnacentral:lncRNA from 7 species